UACGUAGGUGGCGAGCGUUGUCCGGAUUUACUGGGCGUAAAGCGCGCGCAGGCGGUUCUGUAAGUCCUGGGUGAAAUCGCCCGGCUCAACUGGGCGGGGGCCUGGGGGACUGCGGGACUGGAGGGGCCUAGAGGCCGGUGGAACUCCCGGUGUAGUGGUGAAAUGCGUAGAUAUCGGGAGGAACACCAGUGGCGAAGGCGGCUUUCUGGUCUGCUCUUGACGCUGAGGCGCGAAAGCUAGGGGAGCAAACGGG
rnacentral:rRNA from 1 species